rnacentral:rRNA from 1 species
CCUACGGGGGGCUGCAGUGGGGAAUAUUGGACAAUGGGCGCAAGCCUGAUCCAGCCAUGCCGCGUGAGUGAUGACGGCCUUAGGGUUGUAAAGCUCUUUCGGCGGGGACGAUAAUGACGGUACCCGCAGAAGAAGCCCCGGCUAACUUCGUGCCAGCAGCCGCGGUAAUACGAAGGGGGCUAGCGUUGUUCGGAAUCACUGGGCGUAAAGGGCGCGUAGGCGGCCUGAUAAGUCGGGGGUGAAAGCCUGUGGCUCAACCACAGAAUUGCCUUCGAUACUGUCGGGCUUGAGACCGGAAGAGGUCAGUGGAACUGCGAGUGUAGAGGUGAAAUUCGUAGAUAUUCGCAAGAACACCAGUGGCGAAGGCGGCUGACUGGUCCGGAUCUGACGCUGAGGCGCGAAAGCGUGGGGAGCAAACAGGAUUAGAUACCCCAGUAGUC